rnacentral:rRNA from 1 species
CUUAUACUGUGAAACUGCGAAUGGCUCAUUAAAUCAGUUAUCGUUUAUUUGAUAGUACCUUACUACAUGGAUACCUGUGGUAAUUCUAGAGCUAAUACAUGCUGAAAACCCCAACUUCGGAAGGGGUGUAUUUAUUAGAUAAAAAACCAAUGCCCUUCGGGGCUCCUUGGUGAAUCAUAAUAACUUAACGAAUCGCAUGGCCUUGCGCCGGCGAUGGUUCAUUCAAAUUUCUGCCCUAUCAACUUUCGAUGGUAGGAUAGUGGCCUACCAUGGUGGCAACGGGUAACGGGGAAUUAGGGUUCGAUUCCGGAGAGGGAGCCUGAGAAACGGCUACCACAUCCAAGGAAGGCAGCAGGCGCGCAAAUUACCCAAUCCCGACACGGGGAGGUAGUGACAAUAAAUACUGAUACGGGGCUCUUUUGGGUCUCGUAAUUGGAAUGAGUACAAUCUAAAUCCCUUCACGAGGAACAAUUGGAGGGCAAGUCUGGUGCCAGCAGCCGCGGUAAUUCCAGCUCCAAUAGCGUAUAUUAAAGUUGUUGCAGUUAAAAAGCUCGUAGUUGAACCUUGGGUCUGGCUGACCGGUCCGCCUCACCGCGAGUACUGGUCCGGCUGGACCUUUCCUUCUGGGGAACCCCAUGGCCUUCACUGGCCGUGGGUGGGAACCAGGACUUUUACUGUGAAAAAAUUAGAGUGUUCAAAGCAGGCCUUUGCUCGAAUACAUUAGCAUGGAAUAAUAGAAUAGGACGUGCGGUUCUAUUUUGUUGGUUUCUAGGACCGCCGUAAUGAUUAAUAGGGAUAGUCGGGGGCGUCAGUAUUCAGCUGUCAGAGGUGAAAUUCUUGGAUUUGCUGAAGACUAACUACUGCGAAAGCAUUCGCCAAGGAUGUUUUCAUUAAUCAGGGAACGAAAGUUAGGGGAUCGAAGACGAUCAGAUACCGUCGUAGUCUUAACCAUAAACUAUGCCGACUAGGGAUCGGGCGGUGUUUCUAUUAUGACCCGCUCGGCACCUUACGAGAAAUCAAAGUUUUUGGGUUCUGGGG